rnacentral:rRNA from 1 species
AGAGUUUGAUCCUGGCUCAGGAGGAACGCUAGCGACAGGCUUAACACAUGCAAGUCGAGGGGCAGCAUGAUAAGUAGCAAUCCUUAUUGAUGGCGACCGGCGCACGGGUGAGUAACGCGUAUGCAACUUACCUAUCAGAGGGGGAUAGCCCGGCGAAAGUCGGAUUAAUACUCCAUAAAACAGGGGUUCCGCAUGGGACUAUUUGUUAAAGAUUCAUCGCUGAUAGAUAGGCAUGCGUUCCAUUAGGCAGUUGGCGGGGUAACGGCCCACCAAACCGACGAUGGAUAGGGGUUCUGAGAGGAAGGUCCCCCACAUUGGUACUGAGACACGGACCAAACUCCUACGGGAGGCAGCAGUGAGGAAUAUUGGUCAAUGGCCGAGAGGCUGAACCAGCCAAGUCGCGUGAAGGAUGAAGGAUCUAUGGUUUGUAAACUUCUUUUAUAGGGGAAUAAAGUGGGGGACGUGUCCCAUUUUGUAUGUACCCUAUGAAUAAGCAUCGGCUAACUCCGUGCCAGCAGCCGCGGU